UACGUAGGGGGGCAAGCGUUGUCCGGAUUUAUUGGGCGUAAAGAGCGUGUAGGCGGCCAGACAGGUCAGCUGUGAAAACUCGAGGCUCAACCUCGAGACGUCGGUUGAAACCGUCUGGCUAGAGUCCGGAAGAGGAGAGUGGAAUUCCCGGGUGUAGCGGUGAAAUGCGCAGAUAUCGGGAAGAACACCCCGUGGCGAAGGCGGCUCUCUAGUACGGUACUGACGCUGAGACGCGGAAAGCGUGGGGAGCGAACAGG
rnacentral:rRNA from 1 species